UUAACAUUUCCAAUGCGCUUAAGUAGGCAGGAGCAGCAUAACUGGCGGCCGAGGAACCCUGCUCGAUGAAUGAAAUCAUUCACAACAAGCUACUAGCUGCUGCUAGCCUGCUAGGCUAACUUGACGUUAAGCAGCAGACAGCAGACCGACCAGAUGAACUGGCUCCCUCUGCCUCCACACUGUCGACUGUUGAUGGCACGCCGCGCCCCUCCGGCUUCCCCUCUCUCCGCUCGCUUGUUUUACCAACCUCUCUCCCCCUGUGAGAGACGGAAAACAUCGGCUCGCCAGUCACACUUACAUAUUUUACCCCGCAGGCUCUGUAAAAUCCGAAUCCCCGCGUCGUCCUCUUCCGCCAUGGUAAGAGCUGACUGUUAUCGCUUCUCCGGUGCAUUCAACGCUGGUUUAUCAUAUCCGUUUAUGAAUGCAGGCAGAGUGGAGGAAAGCCAGCCCCACUGCCGCGUCACGUCAGGUCCCGUACACACUGGUGCCUUAAAACGUGUGGCGAAGCUUCCUCAUAUGAGUCGAGCGCCUUGCUUUGGCUAGUACUUAAAUCUGGAAAUGGGGCACUGGCCAGUCAUAAAGGAUGUCAGAAUGUAUUGCAAAUAUCAGCUGCAGUUUCAUUCAAGAGCAAUGAGGGUGAUGUUGCUUUUGGUUGGGUGAAAACACAGGUCUGAUCCUCAUCGCUGACAGUAGCAGGGAGCCUAAAAGGGCAGUCAGGAUCCUCUCUCCAAAAACAGAACCAACUUGUUCUACAGAUGAGGGGUGGAAAGCACAGCCUGGACGUCAAAUGACAGAUUUCCAUUCAAGCGAAUGCUGAACACAAACUUAAAAUUUUUUUUUUAUUAAGAAUAAGUGAAAAAGAUUUUCAGAAUCACAGACAAAAUGUACUGUCUGGGCAGUAAUUGGAUUUCUAUUCUGAUGAAGAACACUUACGCUGUAGCAUUUUCUGAUGUAUAAAAUCAGAAUGGGAUGUCUUCAGCUCUUUGGGUGCAGCGCCCCGGGCGUCAAGUCGCACAGAAAUCUCCCAUGAUGUCCAUAUUACCUAAAGUUAGAUAGAAAUAAACAGUAAGGGCAGAGUGAAAAUAUUAUGACUUAAUUCCAAGAGAAUCUUAUGGUGCAUGUGAAUCAUGAAUAUUAAAAAUAAAUGACCUGAGGCAUGUUGGAUUUUUA